AACAGGGUGGCGCAGCGGAACCGUGCUGAGCCCAUAACCCAGAGCUCAGUGGUCGAAACCAUAUCCUGCUA